rnacentral:rRNA from 1 species
UUAGAGGAAGUAAAAGUCGUAACAAGGUUUCCGUUGGUGAACCAGCGGAGGGAUCAUUACCGAGUUAUACAACUCAUCAACCCUGUGAACAUACCUAAAACGUUGCUUCGGCGGGAACAGACGGCCCUGUAACAACGGGCCGCCCCCGCCAGAGGACCCCUAACUCUGUUUUUAUAAUGUUUUUGUGAGUAAACAAGCAAAUAAAUUAAAACUUUCAACAACGGAUCUCUUGGCUCUGGCAUCGAUGAAGAACGCAGCGAAAUGCGAUAAGUAAUGUGAAUUGCAGAAUUCAGUGAAUCAUCGAAUCUUUGAACGCACAUUGCGCCCGCCAGUAUUCUGGCGGGCAUGCCUGUUCGAGCGUCAUUACAACCCUCAGGCCCCCGGGCCUGGCGUUGGGGAUCGGCGGAAGCCCCCUGUGGGCACACGCCGUCCCUCAAAUACAGUGGCGGUCCCGCCGCAGCUUCCAUUGCGUAGUAGCUAACACCUCGCAACUGGAGAGCGGCGCGGCCAUGCCGUAAAACACCCAACUUCUGAAUGUUGACCUCGAAUCAGGUAGGAAUACCCGCUGAACUUAA